rnacentral:rRNA from 1 species
CCCUUAGAUGUUCUGGGCCGCACGCGUGCUACACUGAGUGGAUCAGCGGGUCAGGUUACGCGAGAGCGUUUCCUAAUCUUCAAAUCCGCUCGUGAUGGGGAUUGACGGUUGCAAUUUUCCGUCAUGAACGAGGAAUACCUUGUAAGCGCGGGUCAUCAUCCCGCGCUGAAUACGUCCCUGCCCUUUGUACACACCGCCCGUCGCUCCUACCGAUUGAGUGGUCCGGUGAGGUUUUGGGAUCUAAGCGAAAAGAGCGUUUCGCUCCUUUUGCUGGGAGAACUCAGUCGAACCUUAUCAUUUAGAGGAAGGAGAAGUCGUAACA